GCUCCUUUGACGUUAGCGGCGGACGGGUGAGUAACACGUGGGUAACCUACCUAUAAGACUGGGAUAACUUCGGGAAACCGGAGCUAAUACCGGAUAAUAUUUCGAACCGCAUGGUUCGAUAGUGAAAGAUGGUUUUGCUAUCACUUAUAGAUGGACCCGCGCCGUAUUAGCUAGUUGGUAAGGUAACGGCUUACCAAGGCGACGAUACGUAGCCGACCUGAGAGGGUGAUCGGCCACACUGGAACUGAGACACGGUCCAGACUCCUACGGGAGGCAGCAGUAGGGAAUCUUCCGCAAUGGGCGAAAGCCUGACGGAGCAACGCCGCGUGAGUGAUGAAGGUCUUCGGAUYGUAAAACUCUGUUAUUAGGGAAGAACAUACGUGUAAGUAACURUGCACGUCUUGACGGUACCUAAUCAGAAAGCCACGGCUAACUACGUGCCAGCAGCCGCGGUAAUACGUAGGUGGCAAGCGUUAUCCGGAAUUAUUGGGCGUAAAGCGCGCGUAGGCGGUUUUUUAAGUCUGAUGUGAAAGCCCACGGCUCAACCGUGGAGGGUCAUUGGAAACUGGAAAACUUGAGUGCAGAAGAGGAAAGUGGAAUUCCAUGUGUAGCGGUGAAAUGCGCAGAGAUAUGGAGGAACACCAGUGGCGAAGGCGACUUUCUGGUCUGUAACUGACGCUGAUGUGCGAAAGCGUGGGGAUCAAACAGGAUUAGAUACCCUGGUAGUCCACGCCGUAAACGAUGAGUGCUAAGUGUUAGGGGGUUUCCGCCCCUUAGUGCUGCAGCUA
rnacentral:rRNA from 1 species